CAGUCGUACCGACGGAAAAUCAGCUCUUCGGGUGUGAACUUGUGGGUGUACGUGAGCCUUAACCGGCCUCGUUGUUUGCAAUGUUUGUGCUUUUUGGGUGUACUUUUUCGUAUGGUAGGCCAACGUCAGUCUCGGUCACCAUAAAAUGAUUAGAGGAAUGUAGCUUCGAUCUUGUAUUGAAGUGUUAUAGCCUCUGGUAGAUGUGAUGAUCAGGAUUGAGGAUUGCAACGGGAUACCCUUCGGGGCUACUUGUCUGAUCUCUGAUUGUUGCUCUGGUGCUGAAAGCUUGCUUACGGUUAUCAAAGUCGAUGGUCAA
rnacentral:rRNA from 1 species